AAGUCGUAACAAGGUUUCCGUAGGUGAACCUGCGGAAGGAUCAUUACAGAGUUCUUGCCCUUCGGGGUAGAUCUCCCACCCGUGUUUAUCAUACCUUUGUUGCCUUGGCGGGCCUGCCUCGGCCACCGGCUCCGGCUGGUGAGCGCCCGCCAGAGGACCCCCCAAACUCUGAAAUUUAAGUGUCGUCUGAGUACUAUAUAAUAGUUAAAA
rnacentral:misc_RNA from 1 species